rnacentral:rRNA from 1 species
UACGGAGGGGGCAAGCGUUAUUCGGAAUUAUUGGGCGUAAAGGGCGCGUAGGCGGCUAGAUGUGUCAAAGGUGAAAUCCCUCGGCUCAACUGAGGAACUGCCUUUGAAACUGUCUGGCUUGAGGCCGGGAGAGGGUAGCGGAAUUCCCAGUGUAGCGGUGAAAUGCGUAGAUAUCGAGAGGAACACCUGCGGCGAAGGCGGGUUGCUGGGCUGACACUGACGCUGAGGCGCGAAAGCUAGGGGAGCGAACGGG